GGGGCAUUAGCUCAGCUGGGAGAGCGCAACACUGGCAGUGUUGAGGUCAGCGGUUCGAGCCCGCUAUGCUCCA
rnacentral:tRNA from 6 species